CCUACGGGUGGCAGCAGUGGGGGAUAUUGCACAAUGGGGGAAACCCUGAUGCAGCGACGCCGCGUGGGUGAAGAAGCGCCUCGGCGCGUAAAGCCCUGUCAGCAGGGAAGAAAAUGACGGUACCUGAAGAAGAAGCCCCGGCUAACUACGUGCCAGCAGCCGCGGUAAUACGUAGGGGGCAAGCGUUACCCGGAUUUACUGGGGGUAAAGGGGGCGCAGACGGCGAUGCAAGCCAGGAGUGAAAGCCCGGGGCCCAACCCCGGGACUGCUCGUGGAACUGCGUGGCUAGAGUGCAGGAGGGGCAGGCGGAAGUCCUGGUGUAGCGGUGAAAUGCGUAGAUAUCAGGAGGAACACCGGUGGCGAAGGCGGCCUGCUGGACUGCAACUGACGUUGAGGCCCGAAAGCGUGGGGAGCAAACAGGAUUAGAUACCCUAGUAGUC
rnacentral:rRNA from 1 species